rnacentral:rRNA from 1 species
UACGAAGGGUGCAAACGUUGCUCGGAAUCAUUGGGCGUAAAGCGCACGUAGGCGGCCCGAUAAGUCGGAUGUGAAAUCCCUCGGCUCAACCGAGGACGUGCAUUCGAAACUGUCGGGCUCGAGUAUGGAAGAGGGUCGCGGAAUUCCCGGUGUAGAGGUGAAAUUCGUAGAUAUCGGGAGGAACACCAGUGGCGAAGGCGGCGACCUGGGCCAAUACUGACGCUGAGGUGCGAAAGCGUGGGGAGCAAACAGG